CCCUUAGAUGUUCUGGGCCGCACACGCGCUACACUGAAGGAGGCAGCGUGUACUCCUGGAUCGAAAGAUUUGGGUAACCCGCGAAUCUCCUUCGUGCUAGGGAUUGAGGUUUGCAAUUAUUCAUCUUCAACGAGGAAUUCCUAGUAAACGCAAGUCAUCAGCUUGCAUUGAUUACGUCCCUGCCCUUUGUACACACCGCCCGUCGCACCUACCGAUUGAAUGGUCCGGUGAAAUCUUCGGAUCUGAGAGAUGUCUGAUUAAUUUCGGACGCCUUUUGGAAAAGUUGCUUAAACCUUACCAUUUAGAGGAAGGUGAAGUCGUAACA
rnacentral:rRNA from 1 species